AUUUAACUCAAAAGAAUUUAAUCAACAAUUAAUAUUAAUAUUUGUUAAACACCGAAUGUAGAAGAACCCACUUUCUAAGAUAGAAAGAAGACAAAUUUACAAUCAAUCAGCAGCCAAAAAAAUUCAUGUAAACACCUCUAAACCAUACAAAACAUUGGCGUACUUGUCUAUUGUUUUAAUUUCUUAUCCUUGAAUUGAUUCUCUCUAAUCUUCUGAAACGCGUGCAGCGUCAACAAGCUAUCCGACCCGGCUUGGUGCUUCUUCCCUAUAACCCGCUUUGCACCCAGUGCCUUCCCAACCCGGUCCAACCCGCCAUACAAAUUGCAAAACCGAUUCAAAUGCUUGACAUCAUAAACCCUAGCUCCGAAAAACAACCUCACUGCGUCAAGAAACUGUGUUAAUUCCACCGGUAGGACUCGCUGAGUUAAGCACUUGACUAAGUAACCGAAAUCGUAAGCGCCGUGAAAUGAUACCCAACUCACUGAAUCGUUCAAGACGAGUCCCGACGACAUCAUCAAUUCAGCGAAUUUCACCAACUCGAUACCGCACUGCCGAUUCUUCUCGAAAUCUAUGCCUUGACUUCUUAACAUUUCAACCGAAUCGUGCGCAUGAGCGUCACGCAACACAUCAAAAUCGCGGAAAUUAAAUUCCCAAAUAUAGCAACUAUUCGUGCCAAGAUCCGGCAGAUUACCUUCAUGGUCUGCAAUUGUGAGGCCAACUUGGAUCAAAUUCAACAUAUCGACGAUGUUGAAUUUCAAGUUCAGAUAGUGGGCUUUCGGAUCACGGUGCCGGUUAUACGGAUCAUCGGCCGCGGGCCGGACCACAAUGCCAGGAAACUCCGUAUCCAUUGCGAUCAGCGGGUAUCUGUCGAUUAUGGAUCGGAUCAACUUGAAUUCGGAUUCAAGAUUGUCAGCCCAAACCGAUCGCACCUCUACUGGCCUCCUCGUCGACUGUGUUGGUGACGGCGGGGCUUUACCGGCGUUAGACAUAGUUCCAGAUCGGUUUUUUCGAAUUAGCUUAUGGAGGCUGAGAUCGCAAGGGUUUUGAUUUUGGAUUUUGAUUGAUUAAUUUGUUGAAGAGAAAAGACGAUCAUAUAGAGACACGAUGAAGAAGAGGGAAGAAGCGACGUGUGAGGUUCUUUGAAUGAAGAAAGACGGUUCUUCGAAAAAAAGGCAAGCGCAGGGUACAAGUUUGAAGAGCGCAACG
rnacentral:misc_RNA from 1 species